rnacentral:rRNA from 1 species
GACCGAGGGUGCAAACGUUGCUCGGAAUUACUGGGCGUAAAGCGCGUGUAGGCGGGCCGAUAAGUCAGAUGUGAAAUCCCUGAGCUCAACUCAGGAACUGCAUUUGAAACUGCCGGUCUAGAGUGGUGGAGAGGGAAGCGGAAUUCCUGGUGUAGAGGUGAAAUUCGUAGAUAUCAGGAGGAACACCGGUGGCGAAGGCGACUUCCUGGACACCAACUGACGCUGAGGCGCGAAAGCUAGGGGAGCAAACGGG